UACAGAGGUCCCAAGCGUUGUUCGGAUUCAUUGGGCGUAAAGGGUGCGUAGGCGGCGCGGUAAGUCGGGUGUGAAAUCUCGGAGCUUAACUCCGAAACUGCAUUUGAUACUGCCGUGCUUGAGGACUGGAGAGGAGACUGGAAUUUACGGUGUAGCGGUGAAAUGCGUAGAUAUCGUAAGGAAGACCAGUGGCGAAGGCGGGUCUCUGGACAGUUCCUGACGCUGAGGCACGAAGGCCAGGGAGCAAACGGG
rnacentral:rRNA from 1 species